rnacentral:rRNA from 1 species
GACGUAGGGCGCGAGCGUUGUCCGGAUUUAUUGGGCGUAAAGAGCUCGUAGGCGGCUUGUCGCGUCGUCCGUGAAAACCAGGGGCUCAACCCCUGGCUUGCGGUCGAUACGGGCAGGCUAGAGUUCGGUAGGGGAGACUGGAAUUCCUGGUGUAGCGGUGAAAUGCGCAGAUAUCAGGAGGAACACCAGUGGCGAAGGCGGCGACCUGGACCGAUACUGACGCUGAGGUGCGAAAGCGUGGGGAGCAAACAGG